GGCACCUCCAUGGGAGGCAUGCGAAGGAGGCUGCCACGUGUACCCCUCAGACAAGUUCCUGUGGGACAAAUACCUGGCCAGGGGCUGUCAUGUCACCAGACAGCUCCUGGUGGGGAUGAGCUGGGAGUCAGGAUGACAGAAGCUGUAAAUAUCACAAAUAAAUCCCAUUCCUGGAACAUGUGAGGGUGAAGAGGAAGUGCCCUACAACUUAAUAGGUCAGGUUUUUAUCACAACUCUUCAUCUGGAAAACCGUACAGAACGUGCCCACAGAAGAUGUCUGGCACUAGUCUGGAAAACAACGUAUAAUGUCAGCAGAGCCCUGAAGAGAGGAAUAUAACACAGUUAAACAAAGCCUGGAUUGAGUUUAGCUCACCUUUAUUUCCAGCUUCAACCAACAAACCUCUUUUCUGACUGCAGCUGAUCUCAGGCCCUGCUGGUAAUGGGAAACAAAAUUCCCCUUUUCCCAGCUGCCUGAUUUUUUGAGGGUCAUUCCUGCAGUAACCCAUGGGGUGCAGUAACCCAUGGGGUGUUUUAUACAUCCUGAGCCAUGAGGAGCCAGGAAGAGGCUGGUGGCCAAAAAUGGUCUGGUGUGGUCCUAUGUCGACUUUUCAAACCUCAUGCAAUGAAUUCCCAUUUCCUGUUGCUUCCUGCCCUGACAGCCAUUUGUCCUCACCAGCUGCAGCAGUUCUGUUUGGGCCAUGCAGCAGGAGAGGGGCUAGAAGGUACCUCCAAAGUGGGUCCUGUGUUUGGAAGACCCACCCCUCAAAACCAACACCUUUUCCAUCUGUGGGUUGGUGUUGGGAGCCCUCCUGCCUUGCAAGCAAUGAGAACGCUCAGAAGAGUUAUUGACUUCUUCCCUCGGCUCUUCUCCCAUGCCAGGGCUAAAACUUUUCUGUCCCUGCUUACGACAGGGUGGGAAAAGCAGUAAUACAAGUUGUGGGCCCUCCCUCUAAGUAGACAGCAAUGCGUUUGGACCAUCAGCCUGAGUUUCAGAUCACUGCAUGGGGUCUGCAUCCCACCCCGGAGCCUGCAUCCCACCCCGGAGCCUGCAUCCCACCCUGGAGCCUGCAUCCCACCCUGGAGCCUGCAUCCCACCCCGGAACCUGCAUCCCACCCCGGAACCUGCAUCCCACCCCGGAGCCUGCAUCCCACCCUGGAGCCUGCAUCCCACCCUGGAGCCUGCAUCCCACCCCGGAACCUGCAUCCCACCCCGGAACCUGCAUCCCACCCUGGAGCCUGCAUCCCACCCCGGAGCCUGCUGACUUGUCCGGGCAGGUACAGGUGUUACCGGCACUGUAACACCUCUAAGGACUGGUUUGACAGGCUGCUCCUGCCUUUUGCUAACUCCCACUCCCAAAUUCAUUUUGGGAAACUUGCCACAGGCUGCCCCAUCUCACAGGUGCCCCAGAACUGGGUUUCCCUGCUGUGUUUACACACUGUUGGCCAAGGGCCAAACCGCUCUGAGAAUUAUUGCUUUCCUUCCUGCUGGGCUGUUUCUACAACAUCUGAUGUGAUAUGAGAAGUGUCACAGCCUGGGGGGAGCGAAGGAUGGUCCCAUCCCCAUGGGUCUCCCAAGAACCACACAUGCAAUUGCAUCUGACUUGUGAAACCAUGGCUGGAAUGGAGGGUGAUGCAUUCCUGGGGUCUGGAAGAUAAGCUGCCCCCUGCUUCACCCACCCUCGCUGCCAUGCCCAUCUCAUGGAAGAAAUCCCUUCUGAGGAAGGCAGUGAGGGGGGCUCUGUAGCCCCCUGUGCCUGAGGUGCUUUUGUCUGCCUGCUGGAUCCUGGCUGAUGGAUGGCUGCAGGCAGCAAAUUUGAGCAGCAUCUCCAUGCCAAUUUAAAUAAAUAAAUGAGUCUGAAUGCUUCA